CAAUAGAUACCCUGGUAGUCCACGCCCUAAACGAUGCGAACUGGAUGUUGGGUACAUUACGGUACUCAGUGUCGAAGCUAACGCGUUAAGUUCGCCGCCUGGGGAGUACGGUCGCAAGACUGAAACUCAAAGGAAUUGACGGGGGCCCGCACAAGCGGUGGAGUAUGUGGUUUAAUUCGAUGCAACGCGAAGAACCUUACCUGGCCUUGACAUCUGUCGAAUCCUGCAGAGAUGCGGGAGUGCCGCAAGGAACGACAAGACAGGUGCUGCAUGGCUGUCGUCAGCUCGUGUCGUGAGAUGUUGGGUUAAGUCCCGCAACGAGCGCAACCCUUGUCCCUAGUUGCCAGCACGUAAUGGUGGGAACCCUAGGGAGACCGCCGGUGACAAACCGGAGGAAGGUGGGGAUGACGUCAAGUCCUCAUGGCCCUUACGGCCAGGGCUACACACGUACUACAAUGGUCGGUACAGAGGGUUGCGAAGCCGCGAGGUGGAGCCAAUCCCAGAAAACCCGAUCCCAGUCCGGAUCGGAGU
rnacentral:rRNA from 1 species